AAUCAUGAAGUGCAACAAUCAUAUAUGUGAAAGCCAAGGAAUCAUCAAGUGCAACAAUCAUAGGCAACAACUAAAUGGUUCACAACAACUGCAACAACAACUAAAUGGUUCACAACUCGAAAUAGUUCACAACUAAAGUAAAUAGUUCGGCUCGACAAGUGCAACACCAACUCCAAAUCACUUGGGGCCUCGUCCCCUCUUGGAUACUAGCUUCUUCCUUCUCGCAACCACAAAUUGCUCCGGGUCAUCCGACUCAUCA
rnacentral:lncRNA from 1 species